AGGUGGAGGAGCUGAAAGGAGAGGUGGAGGAGCUGAAAGGAGAGGUGGAGGAGCUGCAGAACGGUGGUGAACCAGAGAGUGGAGAUGAGUCACAAAGACUGAACUGCACUUCCACACGCCCAGAAGUUACCUCUAGCCUUAUUACUUUGAUGUAGAAAGUUUGUUUGAAUUUAAAUUCAUCAACACUUCAUUUGCAUUUUCUUUACAUGACAUUUUAGCACUAGAUGGCAGAUGGACAGCCAGUGAGAGCCAGGUGGAGGAGCUGAAGACAGAGAACAGAGGGAAAGUAAGACAGCUACAUGUCAUUUGAUUACUUUCAUCAACAAAGACAUGGUUUGUUGAAGUCAUCAACAGUUUAUUUGUAUUGUUACAUGAUAUCCUAGGACUUAGGACCAGAGUGACAGUCAGUGGAGCUGAAGACAGAGAACAGAGGGGCAGUCAGUGGAGGAGCUGAAGACAGAGAUUGCAUUUUUGGGGGGUAGAGUGACAGCCACAGAGAGAGGUGGAGGAACUGAAAACAGUCAAUUCAGGUUUCUUUACAGCACCAGUGAGAGGACUCUACUUCUACAGAUUCACAAGCCAUGGUGACAGCUCAUCAUCUUACGUGGGUGCAGCCUUGUACAAGAAUGACCAGAUAAUAAUUUAGGUGCUUCAGUAUAACUAUGGAUGGGAUCAGGAUGUAUCCAGUGCUGUAACUCUAGAGCUGGAGGAGGUGGAUUUGGUCUACCGCGCCUCUACUCACAGAUUACAUGAUGACUCAAAAAAACACAACAUCUUCAGUGGUCUUCCCU